UCCAGACUCCUACGGGAGGCAGCAGUGAGGAAUAUUGGUCAAUGGGCGGAAGCCUGAACCAGCCAAGUCGCGUGAGGGACUAAGGCCCUGCGGGUCGUAAACCUCUUUUGUCGGGGAGCAAAGCGAGUCACGUGUGACUCAUUGAGAGUACCCGAAGAAAAGCAUCGGCUAACUCCGUGCCAGCAGCCGCGGUAAUACGGAGGAUGCGAGCGUUAUCCGGAUUUAUUGGGUUUAAAGGGUGCGUAGGCGGAAUGCCAAGUCAGGGGUAAAAUCGCGGGGCUCAACCUCGCUCCGCCGUUGAAACUGGCGUUCUUGAGUGGGCGAGAAGUAUGCGGAAUGCGUGGUGUAGCGGUGAAAUGCAUAGAUAUCACGCAGAACUCCGAUUGCGAAGGCAGCAUACCGGCGCCCAACUGACGCUGAAGCACGAAAGCGUGGGUAUCGAACAGGAUUAGAUACCCUUGUACA
rnacentral:rRNA from 1 species